CCUACGGGAGACAGCAGUGAGGAAUAUUGGUCAAUGGGCGCGAGCCUGAACCAGCCAAGUAGCGUGAAGGAUGACUGCCCUACGGGUUGUAAACUUCUUUUAUAUGGGAAUAAAGUGAGGCACGUAUACCUCUUUGCAUGUACCUUAUGAAUAAGGAUCGGCUAACUCCGUGCCAGCAGCCGCGGUAAUACGGAGGAUCCGAGCGUUAUCCGGAUUUAUUGGGUUUAAAGGGAGCGUAGGCGGGUUGUUAAGUCAGUUGUGAAAGUUUGCGGCUCAACCGUAAAAUUGCAGUUGAUACUGGAAGCCUUGAGUACAGUAGAGGUAGGCGGAAUUCGUGGUGUAGCGGUGAAAUGCUUAGAUAUCACGAAGAACUCCGAUUGCGAAGGCAGCCUACUGGAGUGCAACUGACGCUGAUGCUCGAAAGUGUGGGUAUCAAACAGGAUUAGAUACCCGAGUAGUC
rnacentral:rRNA from 1 species